GUGAGGAAUAUUGGUCAAUGGGCGGGAGCCUGAACCAGCCAAGUCGCGUGAAGGAAGAAGGAUCUAUGGUUCGUAAACUUCUUUUGCAGGGGAAUAAAGUGCAGGACGUGUCCUGUUUUGUAUGUACCCUGAGAAUAAGGAUCGGCUAACUCCGUGCCAGCAGCCGCGGUAAUACGGAGGAUCCGAGCGUUAUCCGGAUUUAUUGGUUUUAAAGGGUGCGUAGGUGGUUUGAUAAGUCAGCGGUGAAAGUUUGCAGCUUAACUGUAAAAAUGCCGUUGAAACUGUCGGACUUGAGUGUAAAUGAGGUAGGCGGAAUGCGUGGUGUAGCGGUGAAAUGCAUAGAUAUCACGCAGAACUCCGAUUGCGAAGGCAGCUUACUAAGCUACAACUGACACUGAAGCACGAAAGCGUGGGGAUCAAACAGGAUUAGAAACCCGAGUAGUCC
rnacentral:rRNA from 1 species